UACGCAGGCGGAAAAUUAAGUCAGUAGUGAAAUCCUGCAGCUUAACUGUAGAACUGUUAUUGAUACUGGUUUUCUUGAAUGUAGUUGAGGUAGGCGGAAUGUGUAAUGUAGCGGUGAAAUGCUUAGAUAUUACACAGAACACCGAUUGCGAAGACAGCUUACUAAACUAUGAUUGACGCUGAGGUACGAAAGCGUGGGGAGCGAACAGGAUUAGAUACCCUGGUAGUCC
rnacentral:rRNA from 1 species